AAAGGGAGACCUAAUUCAGGUAGGAGACGAAAAAAAAGUAGUCGCUACCAAGAAUCAAUCCCAAAAGGUCGGAGCGAGGCGAAAUUGGCUUUCAAACUAGGUUCUGGGUUCACACAAGACCUGAAUCAGGAACAAGGGCUAUUAGCUCAGGUGGUUAGAGCGCACCCCUGAUAAGGGUGAGGUCCCUGGUUCGAGUCCAGGAUGGCCCACCUGCACAGGUGGCAAAAACAAGAGAAGCGAGGAAUCAGCACCUUAUCUUACUGACAUAGUAAGAGAGAAUGCUGGCUCUGAGUAAAGAGUCCAGAGGAACCUUGAAAACUGCAUAGAGCUAGGUGAAAAAGCCAAAAAAGAAGACCGCAAG
rnacentral:tRNA from 1 species